rnacentral:rRNA from 1 species
AAAGCUCGUAGUUGAAUUUCGGGGUUAGUAGGUUGGUCAUGCCUCUGGUAUGUACUGGUCUCACUGAUUCCUCCUUCCUUAUGAACCGUAAUGCCAUUAAUUUGGUGUUGCGGGAAAUUUGGACUGUUACUUUGAAAAAAUUAGAGUGUUUAAAGCAAGCUAACGCUUGAAUACAUUAGCAUGGAAUAAUGAAAUAGGACGUUCGAUCUUAUUUUGUUGGUUUCUAGGAUUGACGUAAUGAUUAAUAGGGAUAGUUGGGGGCAUUAGUAUUCAAUUGUCAGAGGUGAAAUUCUUGGAUUUAUUGAAGACUAACUACUGCGAAAGCAUUUGCCAAGGAUGUUUUCAUUAAUCAAGAACGAAAGUUAGGGGAUCGAAGACGAUCAGAUACCGUCGUAGUCUUAACCAUAAACUAUGCCGACUAGGGAUCGGAUGAUGUUAAUUUUUUAAUGACUCAUUCGGCACCUU